GACCAAGGAGUCUAACAUGUGCGCGAGUCAUUGGGACCGCAAAGCCUAAAGGCAUAAUGAAAGUGAAGGUCGUACUCUAAGGUCGACCGAGGGAGGAUGGGCCGCGUUUACGCGUUGCUCCGCACUCCCGGGGCGUCUCGCUCUCAUUGCGAGAAGAGGCGCACCCAGAGCGUACACGUUGGGACCCGAAAGAUGGUGAACUAUGCCUGGUCAGGACGAAGUCAGGGGAAACCCUGAUGGAGGUCCGUAGCGAUUCUGACGUGCAAAUCGAUCGUCGGAACUGGGUAUAGGGGCGAAAGACUAAUCGAACCAUC
rnacentral:rRNA from 1 species